rnacentral:rRNA from 1 species
UGCCAGCAGCCGCGGUAAUACGUAGGUGGCGAGCGUUAUUCGGAUUUACUGGGCGUAAAGGGUUCGUAGGGUGUUAUGUAAGUUUGAUGUGAAAUCCAAGGGCUCAACCCUUGAACUGCAUUGGAAACUGCAUAACUGGAGUUCUGGAGAGGUAAGUGGAAUUUGUGGUGUAGCGGUGGAAUGCGUAGAUAUCACAAGGAACAUCAAUGGCGAAGGCAACUUACUGGACAGAUACUGACCCUGAGGAACGAAGGCUAGGGUAGCGUAAAGGAUUAGAUA